AGUAACUGCGAGUGAAGCGGGAAAAGCUCAAAUUUAAAAUCUGGUGGCUCUUCUGCCAUCCGAGUUGUAAUUUAGAGAAGCGUCUAUCCGCGCUGGACCGUGCAUAAGUCUCCUGGAAUGGAGCGUCAUAGAGGGUGAGAAUCCCGUCUUUGGCACGGACCCCCAGGGCUUCUGCGAUGCGCUCUCGAAGAGUCGAGUUGUUUGGGAAUGCAGCUCAAAAUGGGUGGUGAACUCCAUCUAAAGCUAAAUAUUGGCGAGAGACCGAUAGCGAACAAGUACCGUGAGGGAAAGAUGAAAAGCACUUUGGAAAGAGAGUGAAACAGUACGUGAAAUUGUUGAAAGGGAAACGCUUGAAGUCAGUCGCGUCGAUCGAGACUCAGCCUUGCCUCGGCUUGGCGUACUUCUCGGCUCGACGGGUCAGCAUCGAUUUUGACCCUCGGAUAAUGAUGGGGGAAAGGUGGCACCUUCACGGGUGUGUUAUAGUCCUCCGUCGGAUGCGCGGGUUGGGAUUGAGGAACUCAGCACGCACCUCUCGGUGUCGGGGCUUCGGCCCACGUUCACGUGCUUAGGAUGCUGGCGUAAUGGCUUUAAACGACCCGUCUUGAAACACGGACCAAGGAGUCUAACAUACGCGCGAGUGUUCGGGUGGAAAACCCGUGCGCGCAAUGAAAGUAAAAGUUGGGACCUCUGUCGUGGAGGGCACCGACGCCCGGACCAGACCUUCUGUGACGGCUCUGCGGUAGAGCGUGUAUGUUGGG
rnacentral:rRNA from 1 species